UGUCAUCAACUGCUUGCUAAGAAGGGAGUCAAUCUCAUUCUUGUAUGGGUGUUUGUCUGCUCCUCAUAAUGCACUUGUAUAUUUAAAAGAUGUGGGUGAUACAAAACCACUGUAUGACACCUGCAUUCUCUCCAAACAAGGAAGAUGAAUGUAUAGAGGCAGCUGUUGUUGGGAUUUCCUUGAAGUCUGGCAAAAUCAAUGUGUUUCCAGCAGAAGACUCAGAAAACCUCAAAUAAUGCGGAUGCAUGUUUCUCAAUCCAGAAACUUCCAAGAGCUUCAGUAAAAGGAAGCAAAGCUGACAUCACUGCUGGAACAACACCAGGGCUAUUUACACUCAUCCUACUGUUGAGAGAAGAUGCUCUCUCUAGGUGA
rnacentral:lncRNA from 1 species